rnacentral:rRNA from 1 species
UACGUAGGGUGCAAGCGUUAAUCGGAAUUACUGGGCGUAAAGCGUGCGCAGGCGGUGAUGUAAGACAGUUGUGAAAUCCCCGGGCUCAACCUGGGAACUGCAUCUGUGACUGCAUCGCUGGAGUGCGGCAGAGGGGGAUGGAAUUCCGCGUGUAGCAGUGAAAUGCGUAGAUAUGCGGAGGAACACCGAUGGCGAAGGCAACCCCCUGGACCUGUACUGACGCUCAUGCACGAAAGCGUGGGGAGCAAACAGG